rnacentral:lncRNA from 1 species
UUGUUGCCCAAGGUGACAACCCAAGAGGGGGGGGGGGGGUGAAUUGGGUCUUUUAAAAACUUUUAAACUACUUCUAAUCUUUUAGAUUAAUUAUGCUAAGUUGUAUGAAUACUUAGUGAAGCUUAACCUUAGCUAGAGUAUGAUUCUAAUCUAAUCAAUUAUUAAGCAGCGGGUUCAAUAAAAGAUUAGUCAGAUUCUGCCCAAGUAUUCUAUUCAAUUGAAUGAUUGAGUAAAUUGUUUAUGCUUGCAACUAAAGGAUGCACAAAGAGGAGUUAAGCAAGCUUAAUAUCUAAGUAAGUGGGUGAGGAGGUCAGUCAACAAACAGCAUCACAAACACAACAAAAUUAUAGUGGUUCGGUGCAUCCCAGCACCUACAUCCACUCCCCAAGACCUCUUGGGAAUUUCACUAUAAUCCUACAGAUUACAGCCGGUUGUUUUACAAGCUCACAACCCAACUUGUUGUUUUACGAGGUCACAACGAACUCAGUCGGUUUUCCCAGGCUCACCGACUAGAACCACCCCCGAUUGUUUUCUCGGGAUCACAAUCAAACCCUUUACACGUUGGUUUUCCCUUUGGCUCACCAACAAACCUUACACCGUUGGUUUUCCCUUCGGCUCACCAACAAACCUUUAACCCCUUGAUUCAAUCCCUUGAUUGAAUCAAGUUACAAGAUAUU